rnacentral:misc_RNA from 1 species
AAACCAAACACCCAUCAGAUUCUCCAGUACAAGCCGAUACCUGAAAAUCCAGGUGCGAUUACCCAAUUCACUUGAUCGAAGAUUCUUGUCUGGUUUUUGCUUUAGUAGAACUAACAUAAGUCAAUUCGUUUCCAUUUUUAUAAUUUUGCUUCUGUCUUUCAGUUUUCUGGGUUUGAUUUUGUUUGCCUGAGAGGGAAGAUUUAUAUUUCUCUCAUGAUUGAUUUCGAUGAUUGUUCAAAUUGGAAUUUCAAUUUCCAUACAGAAGUAAACCAUUGAAGUUAAUUUUUAAUUUUCUAUGGCACGGCAGUGGUGAAUUACAGAAUUCAAUUUCCAAUAGCAAUGGGAUUGGUAUUUCAAUAAGCUUUGUUUUCAAUAAUGGAUGCAAAAGCGUUGGCAAAAUCAAAGAGGGCUCACUCGCUACAACAUAGCAAAAAGCCCCAUUCUGCUCAAAAAUCAAAAGCCACGUCUGGAGGUGCUAACAUUGCUGGAAGUGGAAAUAAGGCAUUGGGGAAGCAAACCAAGGAGAAAGCUCGCCAGUCCGGCCUUCCUUCGAAUUGGGAUCGUUAUGAGGAAGAAUUUAAUUCAGGUACUGAAGACCCAUCUGGGGAUGCUACAAAUAAAGCCUCUGAUGUUAUUUUGCCCAAGAGUAAAGGUGCAGACUACGGUUACCUGCUUGCUGAAGCUCAGUCUCAGUGCCAGUCAGAUUCCUUCUUGGAUACCUUUCCUUCAAUGGAUGACAUUUUGCCUGGAGAAUUUAAUCUUGGAGUAGAGUCAAUGCUUUCAGUCAGGGGAAAGAGCAUUCUAUUGUGGAUUGGGGAUGAUAAUUUUUUGGUAGAGGAUGAAACAGCUGCAAGCCCUGAGGUACCAUUUCUCUCCCUGAAUUUGAAUGCUCUUGCGGAACAAUUAGCAAAAGUAGACAUUUCAGCAAGGCUCUUCAUUGAAGCAGACCUAUUACCAAUGGAGCUGACUGGCAAUGGAUCAAAGACAAGCAGCCUGGAAUCAGAUCAAAUGCAAAAAAGUGAAACUGAAGCAACGUCAACAAUAUCCAAAGAAUCGAUAUUCAAAGAUUUUUCGGAGGAGAAAAAGGUUGCAAACCAGAAUAUUGAGGUUAUGUCAUCAGGAUCUUUUUUGGAUGUCAAAUCACCUAACCAGGGAUUGGAUUUAUUAAGUCAAACUAAGAAUUCAAGUCAAGACAGCACUUACAGUCAAAGCAAUGCUUUGGAGUGUCCCACAGAAUUCAACGUGAGUUCUGUUUCAGAACCCAAGAAACUAUCCUCAUUUGAGGCAUCAGCUGCUGAGGCAGAGCUGGAUAUGCUUCUUGACUCAUUUAGCGAGACCAAGUUACUUGAUUCUUCUGGAUUCUCAUCGGCAACUAUUCCUGUGUACCAAAAAGAGGCUCCUAUAUCUCUGCCACAACUUACAAGAAACAACCCAAGUUCUUCAAAGACAACACCCAUUGCUGUCAAGCUAGAUGAUGUGCUCGAUGAUUUACUUGAGGAAACAUCCAUGUUGUCGAACAAAAAGGGUUCAUAUCAGCUGACGAAAGUGACUGCUGCCCACAAUGAAACUCUAUCUUCUUCCUCUCAGACUGUCAUCAACUCUAAAGUUUUGGAUGAUUUUGAUUCAUGGUUAGAUACAAUUUGAAUCGUUGUAAGCAAAAACGCCUCACUCGUGUAUUGUUAUUUGUUGUGUUUAAUGCUCUAUACAAGCUAGGGAGUAUAUUUACCAUUGUGGAUGGGUAGCCUAUUUAUGGACAGGCAAGUUUUGAAACAAGCGCCGUUCCCAUAAAAAAAUGUCAUUUUUUAAUCAAGAAAGCAAAGAUUCGAAAUUUUGUUACUGGCAGUGCAGUUUCCUACCGCAACUUAUGCAUUGUAUAGCUUUAACUCUCUGUAUUUUUCAAACAAUUGGUAGUUAUACCAUCGGGUG